rnacentral:rRNA from 1 species
UAGUCAUAUGCUUGUGUUAAAGAUUAAGCCAUGCAUGCCCUAAGUAUAAACCAACUUACGGUAAAACUGCGGACGGCUCCAUAGAUCAGUAAUCGUUCGUUUGGCGAUUAAAAGUACUUGGAUAACCCUGUUAAUUGUAGAGCUAAUACAUGCACGAAGGACCCGAUUGGGAAACCGAGAGGGUUGCACUUGUCUCACACAACCAGCCCGGGUCUCAGAGGGAUCGACCUCCGGGGAGGGCCGGCGUGGCCAGGCAAAGAGAUAACUGGAGUCACAAAACCGCGGGGGAAGCGAGCGGUGCUCAGACGAAGACCGCGGUGGAAGACAAACCAGGCUGAAGGCCUACCGCUGCUUGCUUGCAGGUUGCGGACCAGGCCGAAAGCGAAUUCUUUACUGGUGGCGUCGAGUCCCGUCGAUCCGGGGGCCAUGCCUCUGGGAAAGCCGAGGACAGGGCGAAACAGGACAAUUCGAAGCUGAUCGUCUUCGUAAGAGGGCGACGCGCCAUUCGAAUUUCUGACCUAUCAACUAGAUGGUAGGAUAGUGGCCUACCAUGGUGAUAACGGGUAACGGGGAAUUAGGGCUCGAUUCCGGAGAGGGAGCCUGAGAAACGGCUACCACUUCCAAGGAAGGCAGCAGGCGCGUAAAUUACUCCCUGCCGACACGGCGAGGUAGUGACGACAAAUACCAAGGCCAGCCGCCACACGGUGGCUGGCCAUUGGAAUGAGCAGAAUUUAAAUCCCUCUGCAAGUAACAAUUG